rnacentral:rRNA from 1 species
GACGAACGCUGGCGGCGUGCUUAACACAUGCAAGUCGAGCGGUAAGGCCCUUUCGGGGUACGACGAGCGGCGAACGGGUAGAGUAACACGUGGGUGACCUGCCCUCAGCUCCGGGAUAAGCCCGGGAAACUGGGUCUAAUACCGGAUAUGACUUCAUGACGCAUGUUGUGGAGUGGAAAGCCUUGUGCGGCUGAGGAUGGGCCCGCGGCCUAUCAGCUUGUUGGUGGGGUGAGGCCUACCAAGGCGACGACGGGUAGCCGGCCUGAGAGGGCGACCGGCCACACUGGGACUGAGAUACGGCCCAGACUCCUACGGGAGGCAGCAGUGGGGAAUCUUGCGCAAUGGGCGAAAGCCUGACGCAGCGACGCCGCGUGAGGGAUGACGGCCU